rnacentral:misc_RNA from 1 species
CGCACAUUGCGCUCCUUGGUUUUCCAGGGAGCAUGUCUAUCCGAGCGUCGUUGCAACAAUCAAGUCUGACUUGGUCAUGGGGAGCGUCCCGUUGGGGCCUCCCUCAAACGCAACUCGACGUGCCCACCGUCCGGAGCGCAGCAGAUUUGCAGCCCCGUCCGGCGCGACCCGAGCCGCUUUGUGCGGAUCCACAGGUUGACCUCGGAUUAGAUAAGGAUACCCGCUGAACUUAA